GAAGUGAUGCAAAUUCUCAGAAUGUAAGUGUAAUGCAGCUAACUCACUUUAGUGAUUUAUCUUAACUUCUAUUUACUACCUUCAGAUCUAUUCUAUUUCAUCAGUUGCUUCAAAUGUGGAUUUUCUGGUUCGUUAACUUUAUCAGUCAGAGUUGUUUCGAUGCGGAGCUCUUUUUUUUUUUGGGACAAGAUAAUGUGAAUAUUUAGG
rnacentral:misc_RNA from 1 species